GAAGCAACGCGCAGAACCUUACCAGCCUUUGACAUCCUAGGACGGUUUCUGGAGACAGACUCCUUCCCUUCGGGGACCUAGUGACAGGUGCUGCAUGGCUGUCGUCAGCUCGUGUCGUGAGAUGUUGGGUUAAGUCCCGCAACGAGCGCAACCCUCGUCCUUAGUUGCCAUCAUUUAGUUGGGCACUUUAAGGAAACUGCCGGUGAUAAGCCGGAGGAAGGUGGGGAUGACGUCAAGUCCUCAUGGCCCUUACAGGCUGGGCUACACACGUGCUACAAUGGCAUCUACAGUGAGCAGCGAUCCCGCGAGGGUUAGCUAAUCUCCAAAAGAUGUCUCAGUUCGGAUCGUUCUCUGCAACUCGAGAGCGUGAAGGCGGAAUCGCUAGUAAUCGCGGAUCAGCAUGCCGCG
rnacentral:rRNA from 1 species